rnacentral:rRNA from 1 species
UACGUAGGGGGCGAGCGUUGUCCGGAAUUAUUGGGCGUAAAGAGCUCGUAGGCGGUUUGUCGCGUCUGCUGUGAAAACUCGGGGCUUAACCCCGGGCCUGCAGUGGGUACGGGCAGACUAGAGUGCGGUAGGGGAGACUGGAAUUCCUGGUGUAGCGGUGAAAUGCGCAGAUAUCAGGAGGAACACCGGUGGCGAAGGCGGGUCUCUGGGCCGUAACUGACGCUGAGGAGCGAAAGCAUGGGAAGCGAACAGG